CGUCAAAUCAUCAUGCCCCUUAUGACUUGGGCUACACACGUGCUACAAUGGGGUCAACAAAGUGAAGCGAGACAGCGAUGUUAAGCAAACCACAAAAAGGACCUCUCAGUUCGGAUUGCAGCCUGCAACUCGGCUGCAUGAAGCCGGAAUCGCUAGUAAUCGCGAAUCAGCAUGUCGCGGUGAAUACGUUCUCGGGCCUU
rnacentral:rRNA from 1 species